GAAUUGAAACUUCCUCAAAUUCUUUUUUGACAACAAGAUCAUCUUUCCCACCCAAUACCACCCGUAGAACACGAAAAUUUGUGCCACCAAGGUCUAAUGCAUAAAACAGCCCCUUCUCAUCCACAAAAUAGGAAGUUGGUCUUUAUUAACAAUUCACUGCUGCCAACUGUCAUGAAGUAACCAUAUUCCACAAGAAAUAAAUCAAAAACAUAAGUUGAGAAAUAUUCUCUCAAUGUGAGAUGAAUUCAGUUUGUUUUCUUAUGAACAGAGUAAAAUGAUCUUCCACUUCAAAAACUUCAGACCUUAUUAAACCAGUUCAUCAUGAUUAUUUACAGAUGGAACAUCAGAGAAAUUAUUGCCCAGAGAAUUUUCAUUAUCAAAGUUUUAUGAGAAGUGGAGAGAAACUAGAGACCAAACAAUCAAGGAACUAGACAGAAGGUUUAACGUUAAAAAGCAAAGUAGCAGAGCUUUAGAUGGUUGUACGGUAACAAAAAUUAGUAAAAUGCAAUCCAAAGAAGAAAAAAAACUUUUUUGAAAAGGGGGAAGAAAUCAUCAGCAAUAUCCAAUAGAUAAAACAUGCUUAUAAAAUUUGAAUG
rnacentral:misc_RNA from 1 species